GGUUAAGCGACUAAGCGUACACGGUGGAUGCCCUGGCAGUCAGAGGCGAUGAAGGGCGUGCUAAUCUGCGAUAAGCGCCGGUAAGGUGAUAUGAACCGUUAUAACCGGCGAUACCCGAAUGGGGAAACCCAGUGUGACUCGUCACACUAUCAUUAACUGAAUCCAUAGGUUAAUGAGGCGAACCGGGGGAACUGAAACAUCUAAGUACCCCGAGGAAAAGAAAUCAACCGAGAUUCCCCCAGUAGCGGCGAGCGAACGGGGAGGCGCCCAGAGCCUGAAUCAGCAUGUGUGUUAGUGGAAGCGUCUGGAAAGGCGCGCGAUACAGGGUGACAGCCCCGUACACAAAAGCGCAUGUGCUGUGAGCUCGAUGAGUAGGGCGGGACACGUGGUAUCCUGUCUGAAUAUGGGGGGACCAUCCUCCAAGGCUAAAUACUCCUGACUGACCGAUAGUGAACCAGUACCGUGAGGGAAAGGCGAAAAGAACCCCGGCGAGGGGAGUGAAAAAGAACCUGAAACCGUGUACGUACAAGCAGUGGGAGCACAGGUUUACCUGUGUGACUGCGUACCUUUUGUAUAAUGGGUCAGCGACUUAUAUUCUGUAGCAAGGUUAACCGUAUAGGGGAGCCGGAGGGAAACCGAGUCUUAAC
rnacentral:rRNA from 1 species